rnacentral:misc_RNA from 1 species
UCAUUAGGUCGCAAACGCCGUUAUAUGAUAUAGAACCACACCAGAUGGAAUGAAACAGUUGAGCCAAUUUAUUAGUUGCCUCUUCUGUGACUUUUAUUUUACCUUGAGACUUUCUACAAGUACAUGUGGUUCCAAACAUCAUGUCAUUUGCUUUUAGCUGUUGACUUUAGCUAUAGUUGUGUUUUCCAUGCACGUAAAAUUAUCUUUAUAUUCAAUUUUAGUUGUAUAUAUAUACACUGUGGUUUGGGUAAGAAAAGUAAUUUUAAAAUCUGUCGCUUUUUUUUUCAAAUAUACAGUGUGUAUUUGGAUUUAGAUUUUCGUAGUGCACUGGUAAUCCCUACUGUAUUAACCUAAUGUAUAUUUUAUAUUUUAUUCAAAAAAUAAUGUUGCAAAUCAAGGUAACUUUCAUGACCUGUAGAAGUGAGUCUUUUUUGUCUCAUUACUAUUUGCUUGCGGUGUAUGUGUAUGUUAAAAUGGUUGAAAAAUUAAAUCAACGAAACUUCAGAAACGAUAUUUUUGUAUUGCAUAAUUAUCCUCUAAUCUUUAACAUUCAUUCAUCGUUAAUGUUUUGUAGGGUUUUUUUCAAUAACCGUUAAUUUUUCUAUAUUACAUGUAUGAAGAAAAAGCGAUUUAACAAAACCCAGAACCUUCAGUAUUAUGUAAAAGUCUACUUUUUGCAUCAUUACAAGUUGAAAAUGACGUAGCCUAUGUCCCAAGCAAGAAAUUCACAAAUUACAUAAGAGCAAUAUUCUAGAGUUGGUCAAAUCUUCUUAAUAAUAAAAAUAAACACGCCUACGUCACAAAUAGCUGUUUGACGCAACUACCCAAAGUCCAGGGUAUUGUUAAAAUGGCUCUGCAUGUGCGUCUUUUCACUUUCUAUGUUGAUCCAUUGACUAAAUAUCGUGCAAGUACUCUCUGGCUGGUAAAAUACAACUUCUUAACCAACUUUAGAAGAUUAGGAUCACGAAAUCGAUGAAAGAAUCAUUCUUUAACAAUUUAUUUGGGGACUCCAUAAGCCUCCUUUGGAAGUGAUUUAUUAUAUUCUUGCAAGCUCCAAGACAUUUUGUCAGAAGAGAUUUCAGAGAACAAAAGUAUUAAGGCCACCAUGUUAUAUCAAUUGUUACCAAUCAAUUUGCAAGCUAUUGCAUAUUGAAGUUCCAAGUCUGUUUCUGCCAUAAGCCUGAGGAAAUUGCUUGUUUUGUUUAUUUUGGAAGAGAAAAAUGUAUAGUUUCAAAUCUGUUUACACAAUGGCCCUUUGGAAAUUGUUGGUUUUGUGUAUUAUAUGGAUGAUAGAAACAGAUCAUUUGAUAUGCACUAAAAAUGUUUUGCGCUUGUGGUGUGAUUAAGUUAUCAUUCAAUUUUAUAAGCAUUAUGAAAAUAAAAUUAUAAAACAUAU